rnacentral:lncRNA from 1 species
UGGUCUCUUUCUCCGACGUUUCGCGGGACCCUUACAUUUGGUGCAUUGGCCGGGAAAAGCGCAUCGCCGGACAAGGAGAACUCCAAUGGACUCCUUUAGGGGGUAAGUAAGGCGCCUCUUCCUCUUCUUCUUCCUCCUUUUCUUCUCCUCCUUGUUCUCCUUCUUGUUUUUCCUUUGCGAUCGCUUAGAGCUUUUUGGUUUUUGGCUCGAUGGAGAGCGUAAGUUCUCAGAGCUUUUUGGUUUUUGGCUCGGUGGAGAGCGUAAGUUCUCAGAGCUUUUUGGUUCAGGUUUGGUCUUUGGCUUGGAUUGGUUUGGUUGGGUUGGCAGCGUGGCCGUCAGCGGAGAGUGUAAAUUCUCCCUGGCAGUGGU